rnacentral:rRNA from 1 species
ACUCCUACGGGAGGCAGCAGUGGGGAAUAUUGCACAAUGGGCGCAAGCCUGAUGCAGCCAUGCCGCGUGUAUGAAGAAGGCCUUCGGGUUGUAAAGUACUUUCAGCAGUGAGGAAGGUGGAUAUGUUAAUAGCAUAUUCAUUUGACGUUAGCUGCAGAAGAAGCACCGGCUAACUCCGUGCCAGCAGCCGCGGUAAUACGGAGGGUGCGAGCGUUAAUCGGAAUUACUGGGCGUAAAGCGCAUGCAGGUGGUUUGUUAAGUCAGAUGUGAAAGCCCGGGGCUCAACCUCGGAAUUGCAUUUGAAACUGGCAAACUAGAGUACUGUAGAGGGGGGUAGAAUUUCAGGUGUAGCGGUGAAAUGCGUAGAGAUCUGAAGGAAUACCGGUGGCGAAGGCGGCCCCCUGGACAGAUACUGACACUCAGAUGCGAAAGCGUGGGGAGCAAACAGGAUUAGAUACCCGGUAGGCUCUGC